UACGGAGGGUGCAAGCGUUAUCCGGAUUCACUGGGUUUAAAGGGUGCGUAGGUGGGCAGGUAAGUCAGUGGUGAAAUCUCCGGGCUUAACCCGGAAACUGCCAUUGAUACUAUCUGUCUUGAAUACCGUGGAGGUGAGCGGAAUAUGUCAUGUAGCGGUGAAAUGCUUAGAUAUGACAUAGAACACCAAUUGCGAAGGCAGCUCACAAAACUGUAACUGACGCUGAGGCACGAAAGCGUGGGGAUCAAACAGG
rnacentral:rRNA from 1 species